GUGUCAGCAGCCGCGGUAAUACGUAGGGGGCGAGCGUUGUCCGGAUUCAUUGGGCGUAAAGAGCUCGUAAGCGGCUUGAUAAGUCGGAUGUGAAACCUCCAGGCUCAACCUGGAGUCGCCAUCCGAUACUGUCAUGGCUAGAGUCCGGUAGGGGCCCACGGAACUCCUGGUGUAGCGGUGAAAUGCGCAGAUAUCAGGAGGAACACCGGUGGCGAAGGCGGGUCUCUGGGCCAUUACUGACGCUGAGACGCGAAAGCGUGGGGAGCGAACAGGAUUAGAUACCCUGGUAGUCCACGCCGUAAACGAUGAGUGCUAGGUGUGGGGGGUGUCGACUCCCUCCGUGCCGCAGCUAACGCAUUAAGCACUCCGCCUGGGGAGUACGGCCGCAAGGCUAAACCUUAAAUGAAUUGACGG
rnacentral:rRNA from 1 species